CUACACUUGCGGCACUUCGGUGCUCGCGCACGCCCCCCCGGCAUGCGCAGUUAAACGGGAAACAGGGAGCCGCGUCCCCACACGGGCUGGCCAACCUGUGCUGCCCCCGCAACGGUAAGUCAUUCUUUCGGCCCGAAAGGUUUCCGAAAACGCGCCUCGCCUAUAUCGCCACUGUGAGCUACCCGCUCGCGGGAAGGCCGGUCAGGCGCCAUGAUGACCAGCCCGGAUACCGGCCGCAGUGAGUGGGGAAAA
rnacentral:ncRNA from 1 species